rnacentral:rRNA from 1 species
AGACGUCUACAUUAGAUACCCCCGUAGUCCCAGCCGUAAACUAUGCGCGUUAGGUGUACUGGUGACCACGAGUCACCGGGGUGCCGAAGGGAAACCGUGAAACGUGCCGCCUGGGAAGUACGGUCGCAAGGCUGAAACUUAAAGGAAUUGGCGGGGAGCACCACAACAGGUGGAGCCUGCGGUUUAAUUGGAUUCAACGCCGGGAAGCUCACCGGAUAGGACAGCAGAAUGAUUGCCGGGCUGAAGACCCUGCAUGACUAGCUG